rnacentral:rRNA from 1 species
CCUACGGGAGGCAGCAGUAGGGAAUAUUGGACAAUGGACGCAAGUCUGAUCCAGCCAUGCCGCGUGCAGGAAGACGGCCCUAUGGGUUGUAAACUGCUUUUAUACAGGAAGAAUUGUACCUACGUGUAGGUAUUUGACGGUACUGUACGAAUAAGGAUCGGCUAACUCCGUGCCAGCAGCCGCGGUAAUACGGAGGAUCCAAGCGUUAUCCGGAAUCAUUGGGUUUAAAGGGUCCGUAGGCGGUCUUUUAAGUCAGAGGUGAAAUCCUGCAGCUCAACUGUAGCAUUGCCUUUGGUACUGAGAGACUUGAGUUAUUGUGAAGUAGUUAGAAUGUGUAGUGUAGCGGUGAAAUGCAUAGAUAUUACACAGAAUACCGAUUGCGAAGGCAGAUUACUAACAAUAUACUGACGCUGAGGGACGAAAGGGUGGGUAGCGAACAGGAUUAGAUACCCUGGUAGUCCACGCCGUAAACGAUGGAUACUAGCUGUUCGACCAACAUUGGUUGGUUGAGUGGCUAAGCGAAAGUGAUAAGUAUCCCACCUGGGGAGUACGCACGCAAGUGUGAAACUCAAAGGAAUUGACGGA